rnacentral:RNase_P_RNA from 1 species
AGAGCAGCAUAGACGGUCGCUGGCUAUUUUAGCGAGAGGAAAGUCCGGGCUUCACAGGGCAGGAUGCCGGUUAACGGCCGGUGGGAGUGAUCCUAAGGAAAGUGCAACAGAAAGUAUACCGCCCGCAAGGGUAAGGGUGAAAUGGCAGUGUAAGAGACUACCGGGGACAUGGUAACAUGGACCGCAUUGUAAACCCCAUCCGAAGCAAGUCCAUGAAGGAGUGAUACGGUUGCCCGCCUAGCUCCGGGUAGGACGCUUGAGACCUGCGGUGACGCAGGCCCUAGAUAGAUGACCGUCCCCGACAUAACCCGGCUUACAGUGCUGCUCUCUUU